UUGGAGGGCAAGUCUGGUGCCAGCAGCCGCGGUAAUUCCAGCUCCAAUAGCGUAUAUUAAAGUUGUUGCAGUUAAAAAGCUCGUAGUUGAAUUUCGAGACCGGCUUAUUGGUCGUGCUAUUGUACGUACUGGUAUAAUCGGUUUCUCCUUUCUGACGAACUAUAAUGCCAUUAAUUUGGUGUUAUAGGGAAUCAGGACUGUUACUUUGAAAAAAUUAGAGUGUUUAAAGCAGGCUCACGCUUGAAUACAUUAGCAUGGAAUAACGGAAUAGGACGUUUGAUUCUAUUUUGUUGGUUUCUAGGAUCGAUGUAAUGAUUAAUAGGGAUAGUUGGGGGCAUUAGUAUUCAAUUGUCAGAGGUGAAAUUCUUGGAUUUAUUGAAGACUAACUACUGCGAAAGCAUUUGCCAAGGAUGUUUUCAUUAAUCAAGAACGAAAGUUAGGGGAUCGAAGACGAUCAGAUACCGUCGUAGUCUUAACCAUAAACUAUGCCGACUAGGGAUCGGAUGAUGUUAAUUUUUUAAUGACUCAUUCGGCGCCUUACGGGAAAC
rnacentral:rRNA from 1 species